rnacentral:rRNA from 1 species
UACAGAGGUCCCAAGCGUUGUUCGGAUUCACUGGGCGUAAAGGGUGCGUAGGCGGUCGGGUAAGUCUGAUGUGAAAUCUCACAGCUUAACUGUGAAACUGCAUUGGAUACUAUCCGGCUCGAGGAAUGGAGGGGAGACUGGAAUACUUGGUGUAGCAGUGAAAUGCGUAGAUAUCGGGAGGAACACCAGUGGCGAAGGCGACUUCCUGGCCUGUUCUUGACGCUGAGGCGCGAAAGCUAGGGGAGCAAACGGG